AAGGAGCAUCUAGGCCGC
rnacentral:misc_RNA from 1 species